GAUGGGUUCCACAAAUUUUGGAAUAGUGCGCAAGCAGCUGCGCGACUCUAAAGAGAACAGUGAAGAACCAUCAAGAGUUGAAGUUUUCAUAGCAACUCGCACAAGUAAAAAAGGAAAAGAAAUUGAUGCUAAAACACAAAGCACAAUUGCUGAACUUCAAACCCGCAUAGAGGCAGGGGAAAAUGAUGAAGAUGCAUUUGUAGGAGUGCUAGGAAAGGACC